AAUAAGUGCAGUUUUAACACUGUUGAUACUCAACGUUUAAUCUUUCGUCUUAUUUGAAAAAUAAUUAUGAUUAGUACUUUUAUUGUUAUUAGAUGAUAAUACAUGAAUAGUACUGACUAAUAUUUUUAAUUUUUUUCACAAAAUUUUCAAAUAAGACGGACGGUCAAAACGCUGGACACGAAUAUGUAUGGCUACACUUAUU
rfam:Oryza meridionalis cultivar OR44 (W2112) chromosome 5, whole genome shotgun sequence.